AAGACUAUACUUUCAAGGAUCAGUUCUAUAGUUUGUUACUAGAGAAGUUUCUCUAAAUGUGUAGAGCACCAUUUAAGAAUAAACUUUUGUUUAAA
rfam:Pteropus alecto contig51406, whole genome shotgun sequence.